rnacentral:tRNA from 16 species
CCUAGCCUUCCAAGCUAACGAUGCGGGUUCGAUUCCCGCUACCCGCU